CGCCUCGCGUUCUGAGCCCGAGCGAGAAGCGCUUCAGAGAAGGAGGGAUCGACCUGCAGGAGCCGGCCGCCCCGCCAAGCAGCAGCCGCUGUCGCCGCCCGCCCGCCGUCGCGUCGCCGCUGCCGCUGUCGCUGUCAGAGCCCGUCCGAAAAGAGCGACACCUUCGAGAAAAACAGGAGCUACGGAACAGUUGCACACGCAGUCUGCGGGAUCCCUGGCCACCCUUCAUGAGCCGGAGGCUGUGAGACAUGCUCCAUGUGCCAACGGGAGUUCUCAGCAAAUCUUCUGAGGCUGUCCUAGGCAGACACUGUUCGGACUGAGUCAGCAUUACCAGCUUAUCCAAGAGAAGUACUAUCAUAUUCCUUAACAACGUCGAAAGUAGCCUACUUUAAGAGAAAAUAUGCAGAAGAAGAAGAUUUACAUCAAGAUUACCAUGGGUAUUUUCCAAAACACCUGAUAUUACCCGAAGACAGGACUUGUAUCCUCAAACUUUCUCUGGAGAAGCUCAGGUUUCUUGAAGACCCAGAAACCUACUUAAGAAGGUCUGUGUUAAUUAACAAUUUGCUGAGGAAGAUACACCUAGAGGCAGAGAAAGAGAACUAUGAAUACUUUAAGGAAGCUCCCUGCUAUAAGACUGCUUAUUCGGAUACAAGAAAACGGCUGAAGUUUAUGGUACAGGAGUGCUGUUCCCAGUCUCUCUACUAUGAAGAGCUGCAUUCCUACCACAUUGUGCCUUACACUUCGGAGAAUUCCAUCUAUGGGGUGGGCUACACUGGUGACCGCCUGGAGCAAAAUUCUCAGUUGCUUAUUUAUAAAAUGAAUUAAAGUAACUGUUAAGUUCAUUGCUAUUUUGUUUCUAAAUGCCUGAACUGUUUAUAGUGAAGAUGUUAAUACAAAACACUAAUUGCCAGUGCCCUUGAUCUCAGUGAUGAGAUGCAUGCUGAAGCAAGGGGAGAGAACCAUGGGUAUUACCCAGCAAUCCUUAGUGCCAUCACAUUGAAUGGAAAAUGGACCCCCUUUGUCAGUGGUUUGAUGCAUUAGAAGAAAGGGUUUUUGUUGUUGUUGUUUGUUUUUGUUUUUUGGUUUUUUUUUUUUUUUAUAUAUAGAAAGGGGUUGAUCUCUGGUGGACCUGUUAGAUUAAAAUUCUUAAGUCACUCCCCACCUGAGUUCUGCCAUUCUUAUUGAGAAGUAGGAAAAAAAAAAAGAAAAAAAGAAAAAAAGAAAAAAAAAAGAGCAUAUUAAAUUGAUAAUGCUGUGACCCUGAGGAUUAAGGGUGGAAUGAAUCUAAUUUUCUUUACAUGAUGAGAAUUGUUCUUUCAGAAAUGGUUUGGCUUGUCAAACACUGUGCCAAAUGAUUGUCUGUCUUUAGCAUCCUUCAGCCGUGAGUGGCAGCUCAAGAUGGGGCUAGCAUAGUCCCUCAAGCUCAUCCACUUUUUGUUGUUGUCCUUGUUGAUUAUUCUUCCUUGGUCUUAAUAGACUUUCUCUUUAAGAAUCACAUGUAAUAAAUUAGCAUUGCAUAUAGGAUCAUCUUUAAGUUCUAUAGGUUGAUUAAGAUUUGUGCUGGGCCUUUAAGAGUUUGAAUUUUAUUUAUGAUCUUUUAAUUUUUUUUUUUUAUAUAGGCUGUGAAGCUCAGGAAAAGGGUAGGCAGGCAAAAUAUGCUUUUAAAAGGUUAAUGAUUUUUUUUU